rnacentral:rRNA from 1 species
GCUACGGGAGGCAGCAGUGGGGAAUAUUGCACAAUGGGGGGAACCCUGAUGCAGCGACGCCGCGUGAGUGAAGCAGUAUUUAGGUAUGUACAGCUCUAUUAGCAGGGAAGAAAAUGCCGUUACCUGACUAAGAAGCCCCGGCUAACUACGUGCCAGCCGCCGCGGUUAUACGUGGGCGGCAAGCUUUAUCCGGAUUUACUGGGUGUAAAGGGAGCGUAGACGGCAGAGCAGGUCUGAAGUGAAAGCCCGCGGCCCAACUGCGGUGCUGCGUUGGAAACUGCACGGCUAGAGUGCUGGGGAGGUAAGCGGAAUGCCUGGUGUAGCGGUGAAAUGCGUAGAUAUUAGGAGGAACACCAGUGGCGAAGGCGGCUUACUGGACAGUAACUGACGUUGAGGCUCGAAAGCGUGGGGAGCAAACAGGAUUAGAUACCCUUGUAGUC